GGGUCAAUGAUGAGAACCUUAUAUUGUCCUGAAGAGAAGUGAUGACUUAAAUAUCAUGCUCGGCUGGGCGCGGUGGCUC